CUGGUUGAUCCUGCCAGUAGUCAUAUGCUUGUCUCAAAGAUUAAGCCAUGCAUGUCUAAGUACAAGCCUCACUAAGGUGAAACCGCGAAUGGCUCAUUAAAUCACACCUAAUCUACUGGAUAGUAAACAGUUACUUGGAUAACUGCGGUAAUUCUGGAGCUAAUACAUGCAUAAAGCCCCAACUCACGAAGGGGCGCUUUUAUUAGAUCAAAACCAAACGGCUUCGGCUGUAGUCUUGGUGAUUCUGAAUAACUUUGGGCUGAUCGCAUAGCCUUGCGCUGGCGACAUAUCCUUCGAAGGUGUGCCCUAUCAACUGUCGACUGUGGCAUAGACGCCCCAGUGGUUUUGACGGGUAACGGGGAAUCAGGGUUCGAUUCCGGAGAGGGAGCCUUAAAAACGGCUACCACAUCUAAGGAAGGCAGCAGGCACGCAAACUACCCAAUGACCGAAGGUCGAGGUAGUGACGAAAAAUAACGAUAGCGGUCUCAUCCGAGGUACGCUAAUUGGAAUGAGUACACUUUAAAACCGUCCCCGAGGAUCUAUUGGAGGGCAAGUCUGGU
rnacentral:rRNA from 1 species